CUGGCGGCGUGCCUAAUACAUGCAAGUCGAGCGAGAAUCAAUUGAACAGAGAUUCGUCAACGGGAUAUUGAGGAAAGCGGCGGACGGGUGAGUAACGCGUAGGCAACCUGCCCUUAGCAGAGGGAUAGCCAUUGGAAACGAUGAUUAAAACCUCAUAACGUAUCAUGUUGGCAUCAACGAGAUACCAAAGGAGCAAUCCGCUGAGAGAUGAGCUCGCGUCUGAUUAGAUAGUUGGUGAGGUAACGGCUCACCAAGUCGACGAUCAGUAGCCGGACUGAGAGGUUGAACGGCCACAUUGGGACUGAGACACGGCCCAGACUCCUACGGGAGGCAGCAGUGGGGAAUAUUGCACAAUGGGCGCAAGCCUGAUGCAGCAACGCCGCGUGAGGGAUGACGGUCUUCGGAUUGUAAACCUCUGUCCUUGGUGACGAAACAAAUGACGGUAGCCAUGGAGGAAGCCACGGCUAACUACGUG
rnacentral:rRNA from 1 species